UGGCUCGGCGGCCAGCUCUUCUCCGCCAUGGUGGUGCGCAAGCCGGCGCACCUCUUCCUCGACGAGCUCGGCAUCGCGUACGACGAGGCCGAGGACUACGUGGUCAUCAAGCACGCCGCGCUCUUCACCUCCACCGUCAUGAGCCGCCUCCUCGCGCGCCCCAACGUGAAGCUCUUCAACGCUGUCGCCGUCGAGGACCUCAUCGUCAAGCAGGGCCGCGUCGGCGGCGUGGUCACCAACUGGGCGCUGGUGUCCAUGAACCACGACACGCAGUCGUGCAUGGACCCCAACGUGAUGGAGGCCAAGAUCGUGGUGAGCUCCUGCGGCCACGACGGGCCGUUCGGGGC
rnacentral:lncRNA from 1 species